rnacentral:lncRNA from 1 species
CCCGCCGUUCCCCGCCGCCCGCCCCCGGGUCCCUCCCCCGAGGCCGAUCCCCCUCCCCCGGGUCCCUCCCCCGGCUCCAGGUCCCCCCGGCGCGGUGAGGCGAGGCCCGGCCCGGCGGGGCCCGGCCCGGCGCUGGGCGGAGCCGCCUCUGGCCCCUCCGAGCGGGCGGGCGCCUCGCGCUCAGCGUUUCGCCCCUCUCCUCUCCCCCCCCGGGCCUCGGCGGGGCCCGGCCUUACCGCUCAUGGUGGCCGGGGGCCGAGCCCGAGCGGCGGCGGGGCGGGGAGGAGGGGGCGGGCGCGCCCGGCGCGCUGAGGCGGCGGCCUAACCCCGCCGGUGACCGCCGAGGGGCUGCCGAGGGAGGGAGCCGCGCACCGCUGCCCCGGCCCCGCUGCCCGCCCCCGCCGCCUCCUCGCCCAAUGGCAGCGCGUCGAGGGCGCCCCGUCCUUCCGUCACCGCCCCGCCUGCCGCCAUCUCGCAGCGUAGGCCUCGUCACGACGCUGACACCGCAGGAGCUCUGUCACGAUAGCCAACCCUCUGCCCUGUCACGAUAUGGCAGCCCUGCGACAAAGCCGGGCUGGGAGCCGUCGCUCCUGGGCUGCCAUCAAAGCCCUCUCAGGACUCCACACAGCGCAGCCCAUCGCUUUGAGGCACUGCUGACCCCAGCCCCACGGAGCCCUUUUCCUCCACCCCUGGAAAGUUCUGCAGUCGCCCGCCAUGACCUCACCGCGCUUCCAGCGGAACUCUUUUAUUUUUGCUUUCCAUUCCUGGCAGAUGGCGAACCCCAGAGCAGUGCUGUGCCAAUGGCGAAGGGACGAACCUCCUGCCUCAGUGCUGCUGUGUGUCCCCGGGGUCGGUGAAGUUCCCUGGCUCUGCGCCCACCGGUGGGGCCGGGCCUGGUGCUGGGGAGGGCUGUGGGGCUUUAUCUUUUCCCUGCAUGGUGUGGGUGGGGGCACAUUGCUGUCCCUAAACUGGGUCACAGCCAGCGCCGUGCGGGGCGAAGGUUGACUCUGCCCCAUUCCUCGGGCAAAGGCUGCUCUGCAUCCCGGCUGUUGUCCGUGCUGCCUUGGUGAGGGCGGGGGGGAGGAGGGGAAGGGGGGCAAAUCCUCCUCCUGCCCCACUAUGGGGGCAGUGUAAAUGCCCAUCGUGCCCAACUGUGGGGGGGGUGAAUCUCUAUCCUGCCCCAUUGCUCCCUGGUGGGAACAGCUGGAGGCAGAUCUCUGUCCUGCUGCAGUAUUGAGACGGGGCUGGGGGGAUUUGGAUACAGCCCCCCCUCUUUAGACUCCCCUUCACCCCACCAGCAGCCCAUUACCUCCAUCAGCAGCUUCCCGUGAGCACCCUUCAAUUACCCCCUCACACUCCUCAUUAGCACUCAUUAAGACUCCAUUCCCACUCCCCCCCCAGUU